AUCGAGUCUUCCUGCGCGGAAGAUGUAACGGGGCUAAGUCAAUAACCGAAGCCGCGGAUUCACGACUUGUCGUGAGUGGUAGGGGAGCGUUCUGUAAGCCUGCGAAGGCGGUUCGUAAGGACUGCUGGAGGUAUCAGAAGUGCGAAUGCUGACAUGAGUAACGUUAAAGCAGGUGAAAAGCCUGCUCGCCGUAAGCCCAAGGUUUCCUGCUCUACGUUCAUCGGAGCAGGGUGAGUCGGCCCCUAAGGCGAGGCUGAGAAGCGUAGCUGAUGGGAACAAGGUUAAUAUUCCUUGACCGCCGUUGAGUGCGAAGGGGGGACGGAGUGUUGAAGAUCAUCCGGGUGUUGGAUGUCCCGGUUUGUGAACGUAGGAGGCCGGCAGGCAAAUCCGCCGGCGUAUCUCCGAGGUGAAGCAUCGAGGUCCGUAUGGACCGAAGUGAUCGGAUGGGCUCCCAGGAAAAGCCUCUAAGCUCCAGCUCAACGGGACCGUACCGCAAACCGACACUGGUGGGCGAGCUGAAUAUGCUCAGGCGCUUGAGAGAACUCAGGAGAAGGAACUCGGCAAAUUGACACCGUAACUUCGGGAUAAGGUGUGCCUCGGUAGCGUGAAGGAAGAAACAUCCGGAGCGUGAAGAGGUCUCAGAGAAUCGGUGGCUGCGACUGUUUACUAAAAACACAGCACUCUGCAAAGACGAAAGUCGACGUAUAGGGUGUGAUGCCUGCCCGGUGCUGGAAGAUUAAUUGAUGGGGUGCAAGCUCCUGAUCGAAGUCCCAGUAAACGGCGGCCGUAACUAUAACGGUCCUAAGGUAGCGAAAUUCCUUGUCGGGCAAGUUCCGACCUGCACGAAUGGCAUAACGAUGGCCACACUGUCUCCUCCUGAGACUCAGUGAAGUUGAAGUGUUUGUGAUGAUGCAAUCUCCCCGCGGCUAGACGGAAAGACCCCAUGAACCUUUACUGUAGCUUUGCAUUGGACUUUGAACCGAUCUGUGUAGGAUAGGUGGGAGGCUGUGAAACCGGGACGCCAGUACCGGUGGAGCCGUCCUUGAAAUACCACCCUGAUUUGUUUGAGGUUCUAACCUAGGUCGGUAAUCCCGAUCGGGGACCGUGCAUGGUAGGCAGUUUGACUGGGGCGG
rnacentral:rRNA from 1 species